UAGCGAAACGGACCUGUGGAUCCGUCGUCGGGGCGUGGCGGCUCCGGCCUGAUGAGCAACCGAAC
rnacentral:hammerhead_ribozyme from 1 species